CCCCUAGAUGUCCGGGGCUGCACGCGCGCUACACUGAAGGAAUCAGCGUGCUAAAACCAUUGUCGAAAGGCAUUGGUAAACCCAUUAAAAUCCUACGUGAUUGGGAUCGGGAAUUGCAAUUAUUUCCCUUGAACGAGGAAUUCCCAGUAAGUGUGGGUCAUAAGCUCGCGUUGAUUACGUCCCUGCCCUUUGUACACACCGCCCGUCGCUGCCCGGGACUGAGCCGUUUCGAGAAAAGCGGGGACUGCUGCUGUCGGGGCUUUCGGGCCUUGGCUUCGGUGGAAACCGCUUUAAUCGCAGUGGCUUGAACCGGGCAAAAGUCGUANCA
rnacentral:rRNA from 1 species